UACGGAGGGAGCUAGCGUUGCUCGGAAUCACUGGGCGUAAAGGGCGUGUAGGCGGGACAGUAAGUCGGGCGUGAAAUCCCUGGGCUCAACCCAGGAACUGCACUCGAAACUACUAUUCUUGAGUGUCGGAGAGGAAAGCGGAAUUCCUGGUGUAGAGGUGAAAUUCGUAGAUAUCAGGAGGAACACCGAUGGCGAAGGCAGGUCUCUGGGCUGACACUGACGCUCAUGCACGAAAAGCGUGGGGAGCAAACAGG
rnacentral:rRNA from 1 species